UACGGGGGGAGCAAGCGUUGUUCGGAUUUACUGGGCGUAAAGGGCGCGUAGGCGGUCAGCACAAGUCAGUUGUGAAAUCUCCGGGCUUAACUCGGAAAGGUCAACUGAUACUGUGCGACUAGAGUGCGGAAGGGGCAACUGGAAUUCUCGGUGUAGCGGUGAGAUGCGUAGAUAUCGAGAGGAACACCUGCGGCGAAGGCGGGUUGCUGGGCCGACACGUGACGCUGAUGCGCGAAAGCCAGGGGAGCGAACGGG
rnacentral:rRNA from 1 species